AAAAUAUUUUUUCACAGGCAGAUUCAGUUUAAAUUCUUUGGAAGAGUGAUUAAUUUGGUACUAAACAUUCUUGAUAGUAUUGUCAGUAGAGGUUAAACACAUUAACAUAACACUGUAGAUAUGCAUGGAGAAAUUUAACUCAAAGGUCUCCUGCAGUGGGCUUGCAAUUACCAAGGACCUACUGGCCAUAGUCCUCUCCUUUCCGAAAUUUCUCCAUUCAGUUCUAGGUACUGCUGCUGGAUCUAUUCCAGAACCAGUUCUGUUUCUGCUGCAUAAAACCCAAAACACUCUCGGAGUCCCUACUGUUUACCAACUGAAAAAAUGAAUAGGAAACUCUGGAAUUCAACUUUUUACUCAGGGAUACCUUAAUACUGCCUAGUCCUCUCUUCCCUUCUUUAGCUGCAUCUUUUGCUUCACACACACUAGACUGAUACUCUUCCUAAAUAUGUUCCUUAUUUUCCUCCGUCCACAGUAUCUCUUCCACAUGCCCUAGCCCCCCUUUCCCCUUGUAGAUGAGGUCUUUGUUGUUCCCCCUCCUUCAGGACCCAUCUGAAAUGUUACCUCUUUAAUGAAAACAUUUCUCAUCUCCCUAAUUGAUGACAUUUUUAUGCUCUAAAUACCUACUGCCCCUUUCUUUGUAUUUCGUUAUACUAGACCCCAUCUCUAUUCUAUUAGUUAAUUGUGUAUCUCUUACCAUCCUUAACAAGACAGAAGAACCUCCUUGAAGACAGGGGUGUUUUUGGAGUUCCCAUUGUGGUGUAGUGGAAACAAAUCUGACUAGGAAUCAUAAGGUUGCAGGCUUGAUCCCUGGCCUCGCUCAGUGGGUUAAGGAUCCAGCAUUGCCAUGAGCUGUGGUGUGGGUUUCAGUUGAGGCUCAGAUCUGGCAUUGCUGUGGCUCUGGCGUAGGCCGGCAGCAACAGCUCCAAUUAAGACUCCUAGCCUGGGAACCUCCAUAUGCCGUGGGUGCGGCUCUAAAAAGACAAAAAAAUAAAAUAAAGACAGGGGUGUUUUCAUUUAGAGCCAUUAGGAUAUUAUAUAAGGUAGUAUUGUGAUUUAUAAUAAAAUAUAGAUAAUUGAUCCUUGUCCCAUUUCUGGCACAGAGCCCCCCAAACCCUUGGAAGAUCUUAAGUGAUGAGUGUGACAAAGGUAUCUUUUCUUAUGUUGGUGAGGUGAAUUUUGGAAAGCCUGGAGGUAGCCUAGCUGAGAAGGUGUCACAAAAACUCCAGGGGGACAGAAGCUCCUGUUUGGCACCUUCCUGACCUCACCCUAUGUAUCUCUUCAUCUGGCUGUUCAUUUACUUCGUUUAACUUCUUUUGCAAUAAACUGGUAAUCUAGUAAGUAAAAACAUUCCCAGAUUUCUGCAAGCUGCUCUAGUGAUCAAACCUGGAUGGUGGCGGGGAUACAUGGGAACCUCUGAUUUAUAGCCAGGCUGUGAGAAGCACAGGUAACAACCUGGUCUGGGCUUGGCUUCUGAAGUGGGGCCAGUCUUGUAGGACUGAGCACUUAACCUAUGGGAUCUGACAUCAUCUCCAGGGUGGAUAGUGUCAAGAUGCAUUGAACUGGAAGCUGGUGUUGGAGAAUUGUUUGGUAGUCUAGAAAUAACACAUAUUCCUGGCGACAGAUAGCAUGGGGAGAGGCUGUAGGAGAUAUUAAAAACCAGACAAAGUAACAUAAACUUCAUAUGAGGUGGCGGGUCCCAUCCCUGGCCUCGCUCCAUAGGUGAAGGAUCUGGUGUUACCAAAAGCGGUGGAUGUGGGUUGCAGAUGUGGCUUGGAUCCCACGUGGCUGUGGCUGUGAUGUAGGCCUGCAGCUGCGGCUCCAAUUCGACUCCUAGCCUGGGAACUUCCAUAUGCCUCAGGUGCAGCUGUAAAAUAAACAAACAAAUGAACGUCAUAUGGGCAACAGAUAACCAUUCUCACACAGCAGAAAUGACCCAAGAAGAAAAAUGGUUGAGGAAAAUUAAUGUGGUCAUCCUAUGUGCUGUCAGAUAGACGAAGAGGGAAGAAAAGGCUGUCAAGGAGACUGCAGAGAAUCACAGUCCAUGGGAAACUUCACAUGGUGGAGAAAACAAGGUCCCCUGGAAGGAAAAGUAAAGGAACUGUGGAGAGUUCAGAGAUGCUGCAAUGGGUCAUGGAAAUGGAUGGGAGGAGGCAGGGAGGAAAUAAUGACCAGAAGAGUGAACAGAUACUUGAAGAACCAUAUGUGAAUGAUAAUGGGAAAGAGAAAACCAGAAGUUCUUUUCUUAAUCUAACUAUUCUCUGAUUUAAUUUUAGAGAAGCUUAAAAAUAUACGUUGUUUUGCUUAUCCUUGCUGAACUAAUAUUAAUUACAUUUUUUAAGAUGGGUACCUGUCCAGAGGACUCAGCUAUAUUAAAAGAUUUUAAGGAGUUCCCUGGUGGCUCAGUGGGUUAAGGAUCUCCUAUUGUCACUGCUGCGGCUCUGGUCACUGCUGUGGUGUGGGUUCAGUCCCUGGCCCAGGAAACUCUGCAGGCCACAGGCACAGCGAAAAAAAGAAAAAGAUUUUGAUAAUCUAAAAAUCCAAGUUUUCUGGAAUAAAAAUCAUCACUAGACUUAACUUGCUGUGCAAAAGAUUUAACAUAUACUGAACAACCUAUGUGUCAGCGCUAUUCUAGCUUUGGAAAGGAGUCCCUGUUCCCAUGGCGCUUGUAGUCUGGUCCUGGAUGACUAACCUAUAAUGUGACUGACAAUCCUGGUUUGCAAAAGAUGUAAGAUGGAUGCAAGGACUUUCAGUGCUAAAACUGGAAAACCAGAGACAAACAUGGCCAAUUUCCCUAAUGGUCCCCAAAAAAUCCCAUUCAUGCCCUUCUAUAGGUCCCUCCCAUACUAAUCAGGGCUGACUUUCUUCUUUUUUUUUCCCUCUUUGGCCACACCCUCAGCAUGCAGAAGUUCCUGAGCCAGGGAUGGAACCUGCACCACAGCAGCAACCUGAGCUGCAGCAGUGACAACACUGGAUCUUUAACCUGCUGAACUACUCGGGAACUCCAGGGCUGACCUUCCUAAGUAACAUCUUACUUUGGAAAUGACCAUGUGUGACUUCCAAAGUCACAAAAGACACAUGGCUUUUGCAAUUUGCCCUCACUGGGGACACCUGUAACCAUGUUAUGAGGACACUCAAGCAAUUCUGUGGCGAUCCACUCAGGGAGGAACUGAAGACUUGCUAUCAGUGUGUAAGUGAGCCUUUUCCAAGGGGAUCCUUUGGCCACAGUCAAACCUUUUAGCUGCUGUCAAAUCUUCACAGGAUUAGCCAUGUCCCCCUACAACUUUGUGAGCCUCUGAGCCACUUCAAUUCCCAACUACAGAAACUGAAAGAACUAGUUUGUUGUUGUUCUGCUAAAUGUUCGGGUGUGAUAUAGGCCAAGAGAAAAUAAAUGCAAUGCUACAGAGAAAAGGUAUGCUUAGGAAAGACUUAAGAGUUGCAUGUAGGCCCUACUGUGACAAAUGGGUCUGGAUAGGCUUCUCCUAUAAAGGCAUUUGGGCAGAAACCUUAAAAAGGAGCAGGACAGGAGUUCCUGUCGUGGCUCAGUAAUUAACCAACCCGACUAGCAUCCAUGAGGACUCAGAUUUGAUCCUUGGCCUUGCUCAGUGGCUGAAGGAUCUGGCAUUGCCGUGAGCUGUGGUGUAUGCUGGUGCAGAUCCCACAUUUCGGUGACUGUGGUGUAGGCCGGCGGCUAUAGCUCUGAUUUGACCCCUAGCCUGGGAACCUCCAUAUGCCACCGGUGCAGCCCUAAAAAGACC
rnacentral:lncRNA from 1 species